GGCAGGGCGUCGGGGUGCAGCAGGGGGUUUGGAGUGCUGGUUCCAGGACAGGGCUGGGGCAUGGGGUUGGGGUGUGCCUUAGGAGAUAGGGAGACUGCCUUAGCUUUGCUGUGCUGCUGGACUUUUAGCAGCCCAAAAUCUCCCGGUUUGGCUUCAGUACCCUCCGGGAGAUAGAGCCCAAUCCCAGGAGACUCCUGACAAAACCGGGAGGAUUGGCAACCCUGCACCUGCCCCAUACUGAAGAGAAAGAUGACCCUCUACCUCAGAUACCUGCCAAUCUGACGUGUGGGGGGGAUUCCUUCCCCACCUCGAUUCUGAUGAUCAAUUGGCUCCUGAGCAUGCCAGCCCAAGCACCAACCAGGCAGCUCAGAGCUGUGACCCACUCUGUCCUGUCUCCAGGUGUGACUAUCUCUGAUCACUACACUUCAGAGGAAAGUGAAAAAAAAUCCCAGGGAGCCAAUGGGGUAUCGAGGUAACCCGUCCUGCCUGACCCCUGCAGGGGAAGCCCGGAAGCAUGAGAUUAGAUGACCCCGUCAGCGUUUACAUCCAGAGAAUUGCAGGGCUGGUUUUGCUCUUCUCUAAGGUCCCAUCCAUCUCGGUACAGCCCAGGAACUCGCUCCUGGCCCCAAGCGGAGCUGUCAUCAGCUGAGAGGAACUACCAGGGCAGCCCUUCGCACUUAUGGGGUGAGAUAGAGGAGACAUGGCCCAGAUGGAUAGAUCCAUGGUGGAAAGUGGGAGCCCGUGUGAGGUGGGAUCCUCAUGGGGCAGGACGCUGGGCUUUCCCCUUCCUCAGGAUUGCGCCACCCCCUGGAGAUUGGUCUGCAGGGCACAUCUAGGAGACUUCAUUGCAGACAGGUGCCUGGUUGCUCUUGGAACUGGGGAUCUUCAAGCAUCAAAGGUUCACAAAGGAUGAGAUGAGCUAACAUCCUGCCCUCACUUCUCCUCGUCUCAGGGCUGGACUCCUGCCGAUGGACCAUUGGUCCCUCACAAUGACGCCCCAGGCACCGACAUCUUCGAUAAUCAAAAGGGCUUCUUUAUCAUCUGCUCCGACCUGGAUUGCUACCUGCGGACAGACAAUCAAAAGAGCGGGACUGGUAUAGAGAUCCGGAGACUGCACCCUGCGUGACAGGAUGGGGAUCUCUACGGGAGUGACAAGACGAUUCCCCCCAACAUCUACAUCAUCAAGGGCGACUCCUACCAGGUGGUAAAGGACUUCAGCACAGAUGCUGAGGCCAAGGUCCAUAAGCUGCAUCCCAACUGCUGUGGCGGGGACCACUACAUGCACUGUGCUUCCGGGUUCCACAUCAUCUUCCGAGAGCAGCGUGUCGUGUGCUCUGUCCUUGACGUGGGCACAGAUGAACAUGGGAUGGAUGCUCCCCUACCACUUCUUUCCAACAGUACUGAAGGUGGAUGAGAAAUGGUGGGUGGAGCUCAUGUUCAUAUACAUGUACUACUGAGCCCACCAACAGAUCUCCUUCUCCAUCCACCCCAACGUGCUGACCUUCUUCCCCGGGGGGCUGACCCUCACCAAGGGCACCUCAACCAGCAGCUGGGAGUGUAUCAAUGGGAUCAAAUCAGCCCCUUCAAAUCCAUACUUAUCGCUUCCCAGUGCCCUCCUCCCAGCUCGCAAACCCGGCUCAUCCACUUCCCCUCCCCCAGCUUCUCUGCAAAUCGCGUCACCAGGGCAGAUGAUUUCAUUGCCUGUUCUCUCCGUCGUCUCUCAUUAUAACCCGCAGCCUGAAUUCUGCUUUGGGAUCGUUCCAGGGUCGAAUCUGCUGCAGAAGCACAAAGAAUUUGUCCAGCAUUCACCAGGCUGUUGGGGUUGACUUUCCUUGGUCUUCUCCUUGGUUUGGGGG